rnacentral:hammerhead_ribozyme from 1 species
AUCCAACUGACGAGUCCCAGAUAAGACGAAACUUGCGUCCUGGAU